AGCCUGUGGAGGCCUGCUGGGAACAGGACUCCUAUAACGCCAAAUAAUGUCUGGGAGGCUGUGGUCCGAGGCCAUUUUUGCUGGCUAUAAGCGGGGUCUCCGAAACCAGAGGGAGCACACAGCUCUUCUUAAAAUCGAAGGUGUUUAUGCUCGAGAUGAAACGGAAUUCUAUCUAGGCAAGAGACGUGCUUAUGUGUACAAAGCGAAGAACAACACAGUGACUCCUGGUGGCAAACCAAACAGAACCAGAGUAAUCUGGGGAAAAGUAACUCGUGCUCAUGGAAACAGAUCGGAAGAGCAU